rnacentral:lncRNA from 10 species
AGACAUUGCUUCCGAGGGAGUCAAUAACAUGGGAUGUGUUAGUUUUAGUGCAGUGAAGCAGCUUUUGUAUAGCCCCUUUUUUAAGGACACAUAACUCUGUCAUGGCUGCAACUCCACGGACAAUGUCCUCUCUUUUUAAGCUCAUGAAUUUCACUUUCCUAACCUGACAAAACGGUGUGUGUUAGAUGACACAUGGAUGUGGAAUUAUUACACAGGAACCAUCGGAGAGACAAAACUGUCUGCUCUUAUUAGAUUUGAUGACUAGGCAACACACACACUACUGAUCUAGAAAAGCUAUGAGAAAAAGAAAGCUUUAAAUUGGGUUAGGGGACUUGAAGCAUAAUCUGAGAUGCCAGUUGCUUCAAAAAUGAAAUUGUGCCAAUGUCCCCUCCAAGAGAAGAAGGAGGCUAGGUGCCUAAAACGCAGAGACACCCCGUGGCAUCAUAUCUAAAGGCCAUGCAGUAAACAGAAAUCCAGUGUGAAGAGAAAAGUUCAGAACAGAGUGAAGAGGACAAAAAGAGUGAAGCCUGCACUUCCCUGAGAGGAAGUGCCCCCACCCAUGACAAAGCCAUCAAGCCACUUCAGACACAUUCCAGAUAGAGGAACACAGUAUGCUGCUGCUGUGAAGACAAGAGGAAAGAAAUUGGGAAUCUUUUGUAUCCCAUUUAACAAACAUUUCCUGGGAACUUAUUAAGUGUCGAGCACUAUAUUCAGUCUUGUUGGAACCAAUAUGACUAAGACUUCCAUAUAGAAAUGUGUCUCCAAGGGAUCUAAAGUAAGGGUCAAAGUUUUGCCCAAAGAAGGAACUUGAAAUCUGUCUUGGCAAGAAGUAAGUUAUGAUUCUAGAGAGUUGUGCCAUGUAAUAUAAAAGGGCCAAUUGAUUUGAAAGCAAAAAGGGAAUGUUUUAUACAUACGUCAUUUCUAUCAUAAGAACUCAGUCUGGCCUUUUCAGAUUGCUGACUUUAAGCAGACCAUGUCCCUAAUGAUCACUAAUGCUGAUUGAUACUCUGGUUGUGAGUUUGUGUCUCUGCAACUCACGUCAG